GAAAACUUUUGUCCAUCGGUGUCUGUUCCCCUCCUCCGGGAGGGGGUGGAGACGCUCCGACACCCGAUAGCGAACGGUCGAAGUCCCUUCCCGGGACCUCAAGGACUCAGGUCCUCGAACCAUCCCGGGGAGACUCCAAAAACCGUAGCCCCCUCGGCAAAACCAACAUCGAUGGAGGGAUCGCUCGUCGAUCCUUUCAGAAACGAGAAUAACCUAGUCGACUACUUUCGACGACGGAUACCUCGGUUCCCACGCCGAUGAAGAGCGCGGCGAAACGCGAUAUGUCGUGCGAAUCGCAGAAUUCGGCGAAUCACGCAAUCCUCGAACGCAUCCGGCGCUCUCGGGUCUUCCCGGGAGCAUGCCCGUCUGAGCGUCGUUCCCAAAAAUCCCAACCCUCGAUGGUUCGAAACCAUCCGGGGAAGGGUGAUCGGGAGUCUGCAGAAAUGCAGUCUUCUGGGAACGAGGCGCACCCUCUCGAGCCCCGUCCGACGACGAGGGACCAGGUGCUUAGCUUCCGUCGAGAGCGCCUCAGGGUGCAACUCACAUCGGGAGUCCAUGCCCUGAUCCAUUUCAACUCUCGUCGACCUCGGGAUCAGCUCCGGAGUGGACAGACGCCGUCCGUGGUCCGUGAGACCAGGGUCGGAGGAGUCACAUCCUCCCCUCUCUAACCACGACCUCAGAUCGGGCAAGAUUACCCCGUUGAACUUAAGCAUU
rnacentral:misc_RNA from 1 species